CUUUCACUCUGGCGGCAUGCCUAACACAUGCAAGUCGAGCGGAUGAACGGGGCGUUCUCCUGGAUUCAGCGGCGGACGGGUGAGUAAUUCAUAGGAAUCUGCCUUGUAUUGGGGGAUGACGUCCCGAAAGGGGCGCUAAUACCGCAUACGUCCUUAUGUUGAAAGGGGUGGUUCUUCGGACCUCGCGCGAUCUGAUGUGCCUAGGUCGGAUUAGCUAGUUGGUGUGGUAAAGGCCUACCAAGGCGACGAUCCGUAGCUGGUCUGAGAGGAUGAUCAGCCACACUGGAACUGAGACACGGUCCAGACUCCUACGGGAGGCAGCAGUGGGGAAUCUUGGACAAUGGGCGAAAGCCUGAUCCAGCAAUGCCGCGUGUGUGAAGAAGGUCUUCGGAUUGUAAAGCUCUUUUAGUUGGGAGGAAGAACAGUGAGAUAAUACCUUGCUGUCUUGACGGUACCAACAGAAUAAGCCACGGCUAACUUCGUG
rnacentral:rRNA from 1 species